AUUGAACGCUAGCGGGAUGCCUUACACAUGCAAGUCGAACGGCAGCACGGACUUCGGUCUGGUGGCGAGUGGCGAACGGGUGAGUAAUGUAUCGGAACGUGCCCAGUAGCGGGGGAUAACUACGCGAAAGCGUAGCUAAUACCGCAUACGCCCUUAGGGGGAAAGCAGGGGAUCGCAAGACCUUGCACUAUUGGAGCGGCCGAUAUCGGAUUAGCUAGUUGGUGAGGUAAUGGCUCACCAAGGCCGCGAUCCGUAGCUGGUUUGAGAGGAAGACCAGGCACACUAGGACUGAGACACGGGCCAGACUCCUACGUGAGGCAGCAGGGGGGAAUUUUGGACAAUGGGGGAUACCCUGAUCCGGCCAUCCCGCGUGAGCGGUGAAGGCCUUCGGGUUGUAAAGCACUUUUGGCAGGAAAGAAACGGCGCGUGCUAAUACCAUGCGCAACUGACGGUACCUGCAGAAUAAGCACCGGCUAACUGCGUGCCAGCCGCCGCCGUAA
rnacentral:rRNA from 1 species